GACAGAGGGUGCAAACGUUGCUCGGAAUCACUGGGCGUAAAGGGCGUGUAGGCGGGAAGGCAAGUCAGAUGUGAAAUCCCCAGGCUCAACCUGGGAACUGCAUUUGAAACUCCCUUUCUUGAGUACCGGAGAGGAAAGUGGAAUUCCUGGUGUAGAGGUGAAAUUCGUAGAUAUCAGGAGGAACACCAGUGGCGAAGGCGGCUUUCUGGACGGUGACUGACGCUGAGACGCGAAAGCGUGGGGAGCAAACAGG
rnacentral:rRNA from 1 species